GUUCUACUCCCUUCGUUCCAUAAUUCUUGUCGAAAUAUUACAUGUAUCUAAACGUUUUUUUGAAAUAGAUACACCCAGUUUUGGCUAAAUUUGAGACAAGAAUUAUGGAACGGAGAGAGUACAAA
rfam:Brachypodium distachyon strain Bd21 chromosome 2, whole genome shotgun sequence.